ACUCCUACGGGAGGCAGCAGUGGGGAAUUUUGGACAAUGGGCGCAAGCCUGAUCCAGCCAUGCCGCGUGCGGGAAGAAGGCCUUCGGGUUGUAAACCGCUUUUGUCGGGGAAGAAACGCUCUGGGCUAAUACCCUGGUUGAAUGACGGUACCCAAAGAAUAAGCACCGGCUAACUUCGUGCCAGCAGCCGCGGUAAU
rnacentral:rRNA from 1 species